GAGGCAUUCCUAUGGAGCAGGACUUGCUUCAGUGGGGCUUUGGUGCUCUCUGAGUCUGCCCCUUGAGGGUAUCACU
rnacentral:pre_miRNA from 1 species